AACGAACGCUGGCGGCAUGCCUAACACAUGCAAGUCGAACGAGACCUUCGGGUCUAGUGGCGCACGGGUGCGUAAGGCGUGGGAACCUGCCCUUAGGUUCGGAAUAACUCCCCGAAAGGGGUGCUAAUACCGGUUAAUGUCUUCGGACCAAAGAUUUAUCGCCUUUGGAUGGGCCCGCGUUGGAUUAGCUAGUUGGUAGGGUAAAAGCCUACCAAGGCGACGAUCCAUAGCUGGUCUGAGAGGAUGAUCAGCCACACUGGGACUGAGACACGGCCCAGACUCCUACGGGAGGCAGCAGUGGGGAAUAUUGGACAAUGGGCGAAAGCCUGAUCCAGCAAUGCCACGUGAGUGAUGAAGGCCUUAGGGUUGUAAAGCUCUUUUACCCGGGAUGAUAAUGACAGUACCGGGAGAAUAAGCUCCGGCUAACUCCGUG
rnacentral:rRNA from 1 species